UAGCUAGUUGGUGAGGUAAAGGCUUACCAAGGCGACGAUCUGUAGCGGGUCUGAGAGGAUGAUCCGCCACACUGGAACUGAGACACGGUCCAGACUCCUACGGGAGGCAGCAGUGGGGAAUUUUGGACAAUGGGGGCAACCCUGAUCCAGCCAUGCCGCGUGAGUGAAGAAGGCCUUCGGGUUGUAAAGCUCUUUCGGCCGGGAAGAAAUCGCAUGGGCCAAUACCCUGUGUGGAUGACGGUACCGGAAUAAGAAGCACCGGCUAACUACGUGCCAGCAGCCGCGGUAAUACGUAGGGUGCGAGCGUUAAUCGGAAUUACUGGGCGUAAAGCGUGCGCAGGCGGUUUUGUAAGACAGGCGUGAAAUCCCCGGGCUUAACCUGGGAACUGCGUUUGUGACUGCAAGGCUAGAGUACGGCAGAGGGGGGUGGAAUUCCACGUGUAGCAGUGAAAUGCGUAGAGAUGUGGAGGAACACCAAUGGCGAAGGCAGCCCCCUGGGCCGAUACUGACGCUCAUGCACGAAAGCGUGGGUAGCAAACAGGAUUAGAUACCCUGGUAGUCCACGCCCUAAACUAUGUCAACUAGGUGUUGGGUGGGUAAAACCAUUUAGUACCGUAGCUAACGCGUGAAGUUGACCGCCUGGGGAGUACGGCCGCAAGGUUAAAACUCAAAGGAAUUGACGGGGACCCGCACAAGCGGUGGAUGAUGUGGAUUAAUUCGAUGCAACGCGAAAAACCUUACCUACCCUUGACAUGCCAGGAACUUGCCAGAGAUGGCUUGGUGCCCGAAAGGGAGCCUGGACACAGGUGCUGCAUGGCUGUCGUCAGCUCGUGUCGUGAGAUGUUGGGUUAAGUCCCGCAACGAGCGCAACCCUUGUCGUUAAUUGCCAUCAUUUAGUUGGGCACUUUAACGAGACUGCCGGUGACAAACCGGAGGAAGGUGGGGAUGACGUCAAGUCCUCAUGGCCCUUAUGGGUAGGGCUUCACACGUCAUACAAUGGUCGGUACAAAGGGUUGCCAAGCCGCGAGGCGGAGCCAAUCCCAGAAAGCCGAUCGUAGUCCGGAUUGCAGGCUGCAACUCGCCUGCAUGAAGUCGGAAUCGCUAGUAAUCGUGGAUCAGCAUGUCACGGUGAAUACGUUCCCGGGUCUUGUACACACCGCCCGUCACACCAUGGGAGCGGGUUCCGCCAGAAGUAGGUAGCCUAACCGCAAGGGGGGCGCUUACCACGGCGGGGUUCGUGACUGGGGUGAAGUCGUAACAAGGUAGCCGUAGGGGAACCUGCGGCUG
rnacentral:rRNA from 1 species